CACCCGCAGGUGCCGGGACACUCACCGCAGAGGAAUACAACUUUAGAACCAUUUUCACGUAACUACUGAGAUUCUCUCAUAGACGUAACCGUGUCAUACAGUGGACAACAUUAUUCCCUUACAUACACACGAUCGGGAAAACCCCCUCCUUUGUCACGUAUUUAAAAGUUGGGAUUGGCUGGCAGCCUGCCACCAGAGAAGAGUCCCCACAAUCUCUUUUUCCUUUAGGAAGGGCGGCCGCGCCGAGCACAGCUGCUUUGGACAGAGGCCUCGCAGGGAGCGCAAAGGGCUGGAAGUGAUCUCGGCACCUUAAGGAACUCUGUGCGCGGCCCGGGCGCACGCAAACGCUCAGGCAUCAGAAACGAGGGGCGGCGGGCGGAGCUGGGGCCUCCGGCCACACGCGUGCAGCGGAGGGACAUACGCAGGUCUUCGCCGGCACCGAUGCCUCACAGGCUGGUGGCUGGCGGUCACUUACGGGCCGAGGAACUGCCGACCGUCCGCACAGCCGCAGCAGACGCCUCCCCGCGUGAGAAGGGCCCGGGCUGGGCCCACGAGGAAACUCGAAAGGAGUCAGCGGGGUAUUUUCCAAUAGCUGGAGAAAGCCCUCAGCCUGGAGCCCUGCUCACAGUGGGGGUGUGGGAGCCACGAGCCACCUGUGACAACUAACCCUGAAAUCAAUUAAAAGGAAAAUGAAAACUUGGCUCCUCGGUUGCACUGGCCACACGUGAGCAGGGAAAAGCCCUCUCAAGUAGAGUCGACUCUCUGCUGCACACACGGAUUAAUCUGACCGAGUUUGCCUGCAGAAUGGGCAUGAGAACCCUGAAGUGCAGCCAGCCCAUGGUCGGAGCGCGGCCCUCCCCUUCUGCCCCGUCCACGGUCGACGCUGGCAGCGGCGGGGGCCGCCGGAGAAAUGAGGGAGCCUCACCCCGCCCGUCCGCUCCGAGCUGCUCCAGGACCCGCCUUCCCUCCUCACCCCCACCCU